AACGAACGCUGGCGGCAUGCCUAACACAUGCAAGUCGAACGAGCCCUUCGGGGUUAGUGGCGCACGGGUGCGUAACGCGUGGGAAUCUGCCCUUGGGUUCGGAAUAACAGUGAGAAAUUACUGCUAAUACCGGAUGAUGUCUUCGGACCAAAGAUUUAUCGCCCAAGGAUGAGCCCGCGUAGGAUUAGCUAGUUGGUGGGGUAAUGGCCUACCAAGGCGACGAUCCUUAGCUGGUCUGAGAGGAUGAUCAGCCACACUGGGACUGAGACACGGCCCAGACUCGUACGGGAGGCAGCAGUGGGUAAUAUUGGACGAUGGGCGAAAGCCUGACACAGCAGUGCCGCGUGAGUGAUGAAGGCCGUAGGGUUGUAAAGCUCUUUGAGCCGGGGUGAUAAUGACAGUACCGGGAGAAUAAGCGCCGGCUAACUCCGUG
rnacentral:rRNA from 1 species